CCUACGGGUGGCAGCAGUGAGGAAUAUUGGUCAAUGGGCGCGAGCCUGAACCAGCCAAGUAGCGUGAGGGAUGACUGCCCUACGGGUUGUAAACUUCUUUUAUGCAGGGAUAAAGUGAUGCACGUGUGCCUUUUUGUAGGUACUUUAUGAAUAAGGAUCGGCUAACUCCGUGCCAGCAGCCGCGGUAAUACGGAGGAUCCGAGCGUUAUCCGGAUUUAUUGGGUUUAAAGGGAGCGUAGAUGGGUUGUUAAGUCAGUUGUGAAAGUUUGUGGCUCAACCAUGAGAUUGCGACUAAGACUGGCAGCCUUGAGUACAGUUGAGGUAGGCGGAAUUCGUGGUGUAGCGGUGAAAUGCUUAGAUAUCACGAAGAACUCCGAUUGCGAAGGCAGCUUACUAAACUGCCACUGACAUUGAUGCUCGAAAGUGUGGGUAUCAAACAGGAUUAGAUACCCUAGUAGUC
rnacentral:rRNA from 1 species